AGUCUAGUGGCGCACGGGUGAGUAACACGUGAGCAAUCUGCCGAGAAGUGGGGGAUAAUUCGCCGAAAGGUGGACUAAUACCGCAUGUGGCCAAGGAGGACAUCCUCCUGCAGCCAAAGUCGCAAGACGCUUCUCGAUGAGCUCGCGACCUAUCAGCUUGUUGGUGAGGUAACGGCUCACCAAGGCAAUGACGGGUAGCUGGUCUGAGAGGACGACCAGCCACACUGGAACUGAGACACGGUCCAGACACC
rnacentral:rRNA from 1 species